UUAUUGUGUGUUCUCAGAGGAUUGUGUCCUGCCCUGCAGCUUCCAGCGUGGCAGUGAGGAAGUCAUCCACUGGCUGCAACCAGAAGACAAGGACCUGACCGUCCACUCCUACUACUACAGUACAGAUCAGCUCAAACAGCAGAGCCAGCCUUACAGAGGGAGAACAGCCCUGUUCAAUGACCAGAUCCCCAAAGGAAACGCUUCACUACUGCUGAGAGGGAUCACACUCCAGGACCAGGGCAGAUACAAGUGUUACACCAGCACUAUUAAAGACAACAAUGAGUCCUUCGUUAACAUAGCAGUGGAGGCUCCAGUCCGCUUGGUGGACAUACAGUUAUCAGAUGACAUCAUCACCUGCAGUUCUACAGGUAUCUACCCCGAGCCUAAACUCACCUGGUCCACUGACCGCCCCCCUCUGACCUUUCAUUUGACCCUGGAACCAUCCAGAACUCCACCAGCAUCAAGGUGGAUGACCGGGGCCUCUAUGACAUCACCAGCACAAAACAGUUUAGCAGAGACCGAACCAACAUCUGUACCGUGACCUCUGGGACAGUAGAAAGGACAGCAACCCUGAAACAGCAAGAUCCGGUCGAAUGGCACACCAAUGGCACACCUCAGAUGCAGGUUGACGACCAGUGGAAGGAGCAGGUUCAGAGUUUGUCUGACUCUGGCAGCCUUCAGCUCCACAAGUUAACCAUGGUCCACCAGGGGACCUACAGCUGUGAACUCUCUACUGCCAGAGACACACACCUGAUCCUCACCUACCUGCAGAUCACACCUGAUAAACUAUCUGAUGUUUCAGAUGGACUGAGUCCAGGUUCAAUCACUGGUAUAGCAGCAGCAAUUAUAGCAGCAGCAAUUAUAGCAGCAGCAGUGAUAUGUUUCAGGCUGAGAGCAAAUACAAAUGGUCCAAAUGAAAACGGUCAGAGUGGAAUACCACUUCAGAAUGGAGAAGAAAGAGAGGAAGACAUAGAAAGACAAGAACAAGGUCAAGGAGAAGAGGGAUCAGCCACAUCAACCAUACUAAUGCCUUGAAUCAACAUUAAGAAAAUGUUCCAUUAAAACACAAAACAUUAGUAAUAUUCAGAGAACUAACCAAUGUUUUGAAUCUCACUGACAUCAUGCCACAAAAAAUGUAUUGCUGCAAAGAAAUCACUACUAAAGGACACCAAUAAGAAGAAGAGACUUGCUUGGGCCAAGAAACACGAGCAAUUGACAUUAGACCUGUGGAAAUCUGUCCUUUGGUCUGAUGAGUCCAAAUUUGAGAUUUUUGGAUCCAACUGCUGUGUCUUCAUGAGACGCAGAGAAGAAGAAAGAGAGGAAGACAUAGAAAGACAACAACAAGAACAAGGUCAAGGAGAAGAGGGGUCAGCCACAGCAGACAUACUAGUGCCUCAGACAGAAGGAGAGGACAUUGAUCCUGGGUAAGACAAAAAUGACAUUCUAGAACUCUCUGGUGGGUAAGCAGAGUCAAAAGUCAAGAAGAAUGUGAGAAGAAAUGUGUCAGUGUUCUACAGGAUGGGGUCAUGGUCUCUCUUAGAAAGAGACAAUGGCUAUUAUUGAUUAGCCAAUACAUUGAUGACCAAACCACUACUGGUUUAGACACUAGGCACUUGUUGAGACCUGAAAGAAUUCAGUAACUAUAACUAUAAACAAUAAUUAAAAUUACACCUACAGAAGACAAGGUGAAGCUAUAAUCAUAUUCCUUUAGGAUCCAUAUGGAGUGGCAAGCAGGGGUUGUUUCUGGACCAGCCUCAUCUUUGACUUUAAAAAGAAGAAUAUGAGAAGAAAUGUGUCAGUGUUCUACGGGAUGGUCUCAUUCAACUUCAUUGUGUCUUGGAUAAGCCUGUCAGCUUUUACACACACUGAAUGGACAGGACAGGAAAGGACCUGUUUCAUUAUCACAAGUAACUUGCUGGCAUGUUAAUCAAUCAAUUUCAAUACAUUAUUAAGUUGAUUGAUUGUGGGACAUGGGUUUUUAAGUUUUAGUUACAUUUAUUGUGUGUGUAUGCAUGCAUUUUGCUAUGGGAUGAGGAACUAGCUACACUGUGAUAAAGUUUAUUUACUGUAGCAUCACACCCUCACCUUGAUGAAUGCAGGUGAUCUUUACCUGUAUGUAACAUGAUCCCUCUAGAAGUCCCAGACAGUCUCUCUCUGAAGAGAGAGGAGCUAUAGUAGCAGGAACAAUAAGUUACCUGAAACAGAAUGGGAAGCUGUGAUGAUAACAACCAUAGUCAGCCUCUAUUGAGCCAUUUAACACACCAUAAUGUUAUACAUUUAGAAUGAUAUUGGCUAUUGGUUUUGAUUGAGUUCUACAGAGAUAAAGUCACCAGCAACUGAAUGUGAGAUAACUGCCUCCACCACAGGUACUGUAGGACUGUUGUCUGUAUCCAGUGAUAUAACUCUGUUUAGGAGAUUAAAUGAAACCGACUUAUCCACAUAUCUUUCUCUGCGCAGCUAAUGAAAACGGUCCAUUUGGAAAACUACUUCUGAAUGGGGGACAAAAAGGGGGAGAUAUUGACGAACAACAAGGAGAAGAGCUAACGUAGCAGCAAUACUGUUGCACUGCCUCAUGAAUCAAGGUUGACCUAGAGGUGAAAAUGGACCUUAUUCACAGUGGACAUUCAAACGUCUAGCAGCAGACUAAUAUGUUUCCUAUGCUGACCAAAAGAGACUUUUAAAACCAACAGAAGAUUCACCUAGGCUGGAGUUACUAGUCAAAUAACACUGAUUGGUUUCUUAACUUUGGUUAAUUAUAUUCUUUUCUGUGAAUUUAAAGGCUGUCCUAUUAUCCUAAUGAGAAAAGAUUCAUCCAAGCCUUAUCAUUCCACAUAAUGCUAUGAACAAUGUUAUUAAAUAUGUUAACUUUA